rnacentral:rRNA from 1 species
UACGAAGGGAGCUAGCGUUGUUCGGAAUCACUGGGCGUAAAGCGCACGUAGGCGGGUUCUUAAGUCAGGGGUGAAAUCCUGGAGCUCAACUCCAGAACUGCCUUUGAUACUGGGAAUCUCGAGUCCGGGAGAGGUGAGUGGAACUGCGAGUGUAGAGGUGAAAUUCGUAGAUAUUAGCUAGAACACCAGUGGCGAAGGCGGCCAACUGGUCCGGUACUGACGCUGAGGUGCGAAAGCGUGGGGAGCGAACAGG